rnacentral:lncRNA from 1 species
AGUGACGUCCAGAGAGGUCUUGAGCACUAUAAAUACAUGUCUUAGAAACCCUAAAUCGUGUAACCUAUCACCACCAAAAUAUUUACUUCAUAUUCUUAUUGUUUUUGCUUUAGCUUUUAGGGAGAGAGAGAUUUGUUCUCUUGAACCCUUGUUCUUUCUUUUUCAAUUUCGGUUUCUAUUAUACUUCUUAAUAUUAUGUCUUUGAUUUCGUUCAUUAU